UUCCAUGAUGAGAACUCCUCUCACACCACAGGGACCCAGGGCUAUUUCUCUGUUCUAUUUUCUCCAACUGUAGAAGACCUCUGAUGUCCCUGGGCUCACAAGGCAGGCCCCACCCUCCCUCAUUCUCCCCACCCAGCACCCACCAGGGCAUUUGCAUGCUGCUCCCUGGGGAGGGCCUUCCUGCAAGGCUGACAUAAAGCUCAGCUCUAACCUGCCCUUCACUCACCAGGACUCCUCAGCUCAGCUUCUCAAAAUGAGGCUCCCUGCUCAGCUCCUGGGGCUGCUGCUGCUCUGGAUCCCUGGAACCAGUGGGGACAUUGUGAUGACCCAGACUCCUCUCUCCGAGCCCAUCACCCCUGGACAGUCAGUGUCCAUCUCCUGCAGGUCCAGUCAGAGCCUCCUACACAGUAAUGGAAUCACAUAUUUGCACUGGGUUGUGCACAAGCCUGGCCAGGCUCCACAGGGCCUAAUAUAUAGGGUUUCCAACCGGUUCACUGGGGUCCCAGACAGGUUCAGAGGCAGUGGGUCAGUGACAGAUUUUACACUGACAAUCAGCAGGGUGGAGCCUGAUGAUGCUGGAAUAUAUUACUGUCAUCAAGGUAUAGAGUUACCUCCCACAGUGGUGUAGCCCCGAACAAAAACCUCCCUGCCUGGGUGGCCCAGCUGCCACAUGAGCUGCUGGUCUGGGGAGCAGCUCAGCAGAUUCACUGACCUCUGAGAGGAAGGUGCUGGGAACUCAGGGAACAAGUGCAGCUGAGGGCUGUGGACCAUGACUGCGUGGGCCACAGCUCAGGCCACACCCAUGAGUGGCCCUGUCACCUGCAGCAGCCUGACCUGGCAUGUGGAGGUCAACACAGAAGUGUCCAGAGACCCUCUGAAUGAGCAGACAGGAUCAACGUGGACACUGCAGAGGGAGCAGGACCUGGGCCCUGGGAAGGACGUGGCCAAAAAGCUGUUCUGUGUGAAAUUCAGAUUCAAACCUAAUAAAACAAACAAACAAAUGAAACAGAAAAAUGACUUUGCCUGCAAUAACUAAUAAAAGGAACUUCAUGAAAUUGA